UACGGGGGGAGCAAGCGUUGUUCGGAUUUACUGGGCGUAAAGGGCGCGUAGGCGGCACUGCAAGUCAGUUGUGAAAUCUCCGGGCUUAACCCGGAAAGGUCAACUGAUACUGCAGGGCUAGAGUGCAGAAGGGGCAACUGGAAUUCUCGGUGUAGCGGUGAAAUGCGUAGAUAUCGAGAGGAACACCUGCGGCGAAGGCGGGUAGCUGGGCCGACACUGACGCUGAGGCGCGAAAGCCAGGGGAGCAAACGGG
rnacentral:rRNA from 1 species